rnacentral:rRNA from 1 species
GCAUCAGGUAGUAACAGAGUUCGAUCGUAAGCUCCAGAUUGAACGCUGGCGGAAUUAACUUUACGCCACGGUCGAACGGCAGCACGGACUUCGGUCUGGUGGCGGGUGGCGAACGGGUGAGUAAUGUAUCCCGGAACGUGCCUAAGUAGCGGGGAUAACUUCACGCGAAAGCGUAGCUAAUACCGCAUACGCCCUUCGGGGGAAAGCGAGACCUUGGGCCUCACUAUUAAACGGCCGAUAUCGGAUUAGCUAGUUGGUGGGAGUAACGGCUCACAGGGGCGACGAUCCGUAGCUGGUUUGAGAGGACGACCAACCGCAGGACAGGGCCCGGCCCAGACUCUACGGAGGCAGCAGUGGGGGAAUUUUGAACGUAUGAAACCUGAUCCAGCCAUCCCGCGUGUGCACGUGCGGCCUUCGGGUUGUCUCCGCUGCUUCCCAGCGGGAAAGAAACAGCUGCGGGACUAUUUUGCGUGCAGCUGACGAUUACCUGCAGAAUAAGCACCGGCUAACUACGUGCCAGCAGUAACUAAUGCGUGGGGUGCAAGCGUUAAUCGGAAUUACUGGGCUAAGCGUGCGAGGCGGUUCGAAGAAAAGAAAAGAUGAAAUGAAACUUACUUUGGAACAUUUUCUUCUAUAAUGAGGUAUUAUCGAAGGUGGAAUUCCGCGUGUAGCAGUAAAUGCGUGAAUGCGGAGGAACACCGAUGGCGAAGCGGCCUCCUGGGAUAACACUGACGCUCAUGCACAUGGCAAUGGGGAGCAAACAGGAUUAGAUACCCUGGUAGUCCACGCCACAACUGAUGUCAACUAGCCUUCGGGGCCUUCGGGCCAUGGUAGCGCAGCCUAACGCGUGAAGUUGACCAUGGGGAAGUACAGUCGCAAGAUUAAACUCAAAGGAAUUGACGAGGACCGCACAAGCAGUGGAUGAUGUGGAUUAAUUCGAUGCAACGCAGAAAAACCUUACCUACCUUGACAUAUCUGGAAUCCCGAAGAGAUUUGGGAGUGCUCGCAGGAGAACCGGAACACAGGUGCUGCAUGGCUGUCGUCAGCUCGUCGUGAGAUGUUGGUUAAGUCCCCGCAACAGGCGCAACCCUUGUCUCCAUUAGUUACUACGAAGGGCACUCUAAUGAGACCGCCCUGGUGACAAACUACGGAGGAAGGUAGGAUGACGUCAAGUCCUCAUGGCCCUUAUGGGUAGGGCUUCACACGUCAUACAAUGGUCAGGACAGAGGUCGCCAACCCGCGAGGGGAGCCAAUCCCAGAAACCCGAUCGUAGUCGGAUCGCAUGAGUCUGCAACUCGACUGCGUGAAGUCAGAAUCGCUAGUAAUCGCGGAUCCAUGCCCAGUGUGAAUACGUUCCAGGUCUUGUACCACCACCAUCUACAUAGAGUGGUUUUACACGGUAGUUGCUUCUAGCAAGGAGGGCGAUUACCACGGUAAGUUAAGCUAGGGUGAGAAGUCGUAACAAGGUAG